ACAUUUCCACAACAAGGGAGAUACCAUGAUCAUGAAGGUGGUUUUCCCAGGAUGAGGCUCAUCCAUUGCACUGCAGGUGUACUGACCCCUGCAAUUUCCCCAAAUGUGGAAAACUCAAACUGCGUAAUUUGUGGCAGUGGGCAACUGCGUUGGUGCUUUCCCCUG